rnacentral:rRNA from 1 species
UACAGAGGGUGCAAGCGUUGUUCGGAAUUAUUGGGCGUAAAGGGCGCGUAGGCGGUGCGGUAGGUCUGCGGUGAAAUCUCCCGGCUCAACUGGGAGGCUGCCGUGGAAACUGGCGAACUGGAGUGUGGCAGAGGGGGGUGGAAUUCCGCGUGUAGCAGUGAAAUGCGUAGAGAUGCGGAGGAACACCGAUGGCGAAGGCAGCCCCCUGGGCUAGCACUGACGCUCAGGCACGAAAGCGUGGGGAGCAAACAGG